rnacentral:rRNA from 1 species
GAUCAUUACCGAGUUUACAACUCCCAAACCCCUGUGAACAUACCACUUGUUGCCUCGGCGGAUCAGCCCGCUCCCGGUAAAACGGGACGGCCCGCCAGAGGACCCCUAAACUCUGUUUCUAUAUGUAACUUCUGAGUAAAACCAUAAAUAAAUCAAAACUUUCAACAACGGAUCUCUUGGUUCUGGCAUCGAUGAAGAACGCAGCAAAAUGCGAUAAGUAAUGUGAAUUGCAGAAUUCAGUGAAUCAUCGAAUCUUUGAACGCACAUUGCGCCCGCCAGUAUUCUGGCGGGCAUGCCUGUUCGAGCGUCAUUUCAACCCUCAAGCACAGCUUGGUGUUGGGACUCGCGUUAAUUCGCGUUCCUCAAAUUGAUUGGCGGUCACGUCGAGCUUCCAUAGCGUAGUAGUAAAACCCUCGUUACUGGUAAUCGUCGCGGCCACGCCGUUAAACCCCAACUUCUGAAUGUUGACCUCGGAUCAGGUAGGAAUACCCGCUGAACUU